UUCUCCCCGUUUUUGUUCAACAUGGUGGUUGAUACCCUGGCCUAGAUCCUGGAUAAGGCCAAGGCCGUCAGACACAUUCUAGGCAUCGCCCUGCACUUGGUGGAGGGAGGCGGCGUAUCCCUCCUCCAAUACGCCGAUGACACCAUCAUCAUGGUGAAAGGCUCGGUGGCUGAGAUCUCAAACCUGAAAUUCCUACUUCUAUGUUUUCAACACCUGUGGGGCCUCAAAAUAAACUUCGAUAAAAGUGAGGUGAUGGUUCUGGGGUAUUCGCCCUCUGAGAGCCAGAGUAUCGCUAACCGACUUAACUGUCGGUUGGGGACAUUCCCUACUACCUACCUAGGGGUCCCCAUUAGUGAUUCCCGUCUGUCCGUGGCUGAUCUGAGACCCUCGGUGCUCAAGCUCCAACACCACAUCGAGUCGUGA
rnacentral:rRNA from 1 species